rnacentral:rRNA from 1 species
UACGUAGGGUGCGAGCGUUAAUCGGAUUUACUGGGCGUAAAGCGUGCGCAGGCGGUUUGUUAAGCGAGAUGUGAAAGCCCCGGGCUCAACCUGGGAACCGCAUUUCGAACUGGCAAACUAGAGUCUUGUAGAGGGGGGUAGAAUUCCAAGUGUAGCGGUGAAAUGCGUAGAGAUUUGGAGGAACACCAGUGGCGAAGGCGGCUCUCUGGCCAGUUACUGACGCUCAUGCGCGAAAGCUGGGGGAGCGAACCGG